rnacentral:rRNA from 1 species
AUAACGCUGGCGGCGUGCCUAACACAUGCAAGUCGAACGCCCUACGCAAGUAGGGAGUGGCGGACGGGUGAGGAACACGUGAGUACCUACCCUUCAGUGAGGAAUACCGGCGAGAAAUCGCCGACAAUACCGCAUACGUUUCUUCGGAAAGAAAGCUCGCAAGAGCGCUGAAGGAUGGGCUUGCGCCCGAUUAGUUUGUUGGUGAGGUAAUGGCUUACCAAGACGGCGAUCGGUAGCUGGUCUGAGAGGAUGAUCAGCCACACUGGGAUUGAGAACGGCCCAGACUCCUACGGGGGGCAGCAGUGAGGAAUUUUCGUCAAUGGGGGCAACCCUGAACGAGCAACGCCGCGUGCAGGAAGAAGGUCUUCGGAUCGUAAACUGCUUUUCUCUGGGACGAGUAAGGACGGUACCAGAGGAAUCAGCCUCGGCUAACUACGUGCCAGCAGCCGCGGUAAUACGUAGGAGGCAAGCGUUGUCCGGAGUUACUGGGCGUAAAGCGCGCGC